AUGAACUCAGAAGGGCAUCAAAUGUGUCUAAUACGAAGUGAAGAGGAAGCUCGUGUUAUUGAGAUAGCGGUAAGAACAGCUGUACUGAGCGUGGUAGAAGUGAUAAAUGACAUCAACAAAACCCGACUACAUGAAUAUCAAAAGGAAGUUGCAGAAAAGGACAAAGAGAAUGCACAUCUCAAAGCAGAGGUCAACAAAGCGGUAAAAGAACUGGCGUUUCUGCGUCAGCUUGUGGGUUUUCGAGAACAAGGUGAAAGAAGUGUGCGAAACGCAAGCACUGGUACACAGGUAUCAGGAAAUAAAUUGAGCGUGGAGACGUCUUGUUGUGUUGAAGACGGGACUGUGAAUAAAGGCGUGACAACAGUCCAAAGCAGUGUAAAACAGUCCAAAAGUCAUAGUAUUGAUAUCCAGAUCGAAUGUUCGAGUGAGGAGACCACUGCAGUUCAAGAUGAUUCCGCUGCAGGCUCUUCCAAUCCAAAUGGACAUUUCUGCGCGCCAUCAGAGUACUCAGAAGACUACACAGACUUUACUGCUGCAGUGAAUUUCCCUGUGGUCAAAGAAGAGCCUCCUAGUAGGGACAGUGUUUACAUCAAGUUUGAGGUGAAGGAGGAAAACCCGUGCACUGACCAAGACGACGACAGUUCGCCAUCAUGUCUUUUGGAGAGAGAGCCCCUGGAGAACUACCAUUUCCAUCACCAUAGAGACAGUACGUUUGGAACCAGAACUAUCAGUGCGUUUGGAACCAGAAGUAUACCUUCUUACUAUAGUUCUGGACCGUUCGACAGAAGACUGUCCUCUGUCUCCAGCUUUAAAAAGAGGUGUGAUGAUCGAGAGAGGCAGCGGCGUUACAGGGAGAGGAUCCGUGCUGACCCAGAGAAACAGCAAGCUUACCUGGAGAGGGACAGACUCAGAUACCAGCAGAGGAAGAAGCUGAUCUGUGACCUGCCGGAGCAGAUCCAGACGCAGAAGAGAGCAGCGUGGAGAGAGGCGGCCAGGAGGAGCAGAGCCAAGAAGAAAUCCCACCCCACCGACUGGCCAGAGCCUCUCUGACUAGCAGUUAGACAGGAAGAAAUCCCACCUCUCCGAUUGGACAGAGCCUCUCUGACUAGCAGUUAGACAGGAAGAAAUCCCACCUCUCCGAUUGGACAGAGCCUCUCUGACUAGCAGUUAGACAGGAAGAAAUCCCACCUCUCCGAUUGGACAGAACCUCUCUGACUAGCAGUUAGACAGGAAGAAAUCCCACCUCUCCGAUUGGACAGAGCCUCUCUGACUAGCAGUUAGACAGGAAGAAAUCCCACCUCUCCGAAUGGACAGAGCCUCUCUGACUAGCAGUUAGACAGGGGGCAGGUUGAGCCAGGACGCAAAAAGGACUACAGACACUCGAUUUGUAGGCACAUUUGAUCGUUUGAGUGCUGCACUCUACACGCUACUGAAUGCUGUGAAGACAGGGUGCAGUAGAGAGAAAUGCCUUGGUUUUGUCAGUUGAAAGCCCCCUGAUGUUCUUUGUUGUAAUGACUGUUGAUUGCUUGUGACGCUACUCUAACCUUAGGUUCUAAUUAUUCUGAUGAAACAAUUAUUUCGGAGAGUAGAAGUCUUUCAGUAAGACAGAAAACAAUUAUCCACUGAAAGGAAUGAAACUAUUAUUAUUACUAUUACUACUACUAGGGUAAAUGGAUCCACUGUUCCCAGCGAUGCUUGACUGGUGUCCAGCAGCUACCUUUCCUAGGUAUAUUGGACAGUUUGAGGACCACACUCUAAUCACUACUGAUGGCAGUGAAGGCAGGGUGCAGUCAAGAACAGUUCCUCGGUUUGUGUCGUUUGAAAGUCCCCUGAUCUUGUUUAUUGUAAUGACAUAUGUUGAUAUCCUGAAUGUGGUGAUACUGUAACUUAAAUCUGUUUAGGUUUUAAUUCUUCUGAUGAAACAGUUCUUUAGAGAGUAGAUGCCUUUCAGUAAGAUGGCUUGUUCAAUUAUCCACUGAACAGUAUGUUUACUGUUGUAGUGCGAAUUUAUUCAUAGUGCCCAGUGAUUUUUUUAAUUUUUUUGUCUGGUCUCCAGCGGUUACCUUCGAUAUAGUCAUUUUCUUUUCUUUCAUCAUGCCAUAUUUCUUGUAUGGUUAUGGAGACCUUGGUGUUCAGUUGUCAAACUGUCGUUUAUGAUGCAUGAAGGUUGCAUUUAUAAAUACAGACCCACGCAGUGUGAAUAAUGAAUUACAUUCCUAAUUGAUGCAUCAAAAAAGUUUGAUGGUCAAUAGUGGAAGUCAUGGUAGUCUAUAUUUCAAUUUCUUCUUGAACUUAAAAAAAACCAACCACAGACAUACAAUUGUAUAAAACAUUUUUAUUGAAAUUUGAUUGAAAAUGAUUUUAUUGCCAAAUGAGGCGACUGGCUACGGUGGAGAGGAUGGCGACAUGGGUUGGAGGAAUGCUUUUCUGGAACAGCCCUUGAAGUGAUGAUUUAACACAAUAAACAACAUUUAAUGCAUUUUCUACCUCUUAGU
rnacentral:lncRNA from 1 species